rnacentral:rRNA from 1 species
CCUACGGGGGGCAGCAGGGGGGGAUAUUGCACAAUGGGGGAAACCCUGAUGCAGCGACGCCGCGUGAGUGAAGAAGUAUUUCGGUACGUAAAGCUCUAUCAGCAGGGAAGAAAAUGACGGUACCUGACUAAGAAGCCCCGGCUAACUACGUGCCAGCAGCCGCGGUAAUACGUAGGGGGCAAGCGUUAUCCGGAUUUACUGGGUGUAAAGGGAGCGUAGACGGCAGCGCAAGUCUGGAGUGAAAUCCCAUGGCUUAACCAUGGAACUGCUUUGGAAACUGUGCAGCUAGAGUGCAGGAGAGGUAAGCGGAAUUCCUAGUGUAGCGGUGAAAUGCGUAGAUAUUAGGAGGAACACCAGUGGCGAAGGCGGCUUACUGGACUGUAACUGACGUUGAGGCUCGAAAGCGUGGGGAGCAAACAGGAUUAGAUACCCCUGUAGUC